UACGGGAGGCAGCAGGGGGGAAUAUUGCACAAUGGGCGAAAGCCUGAUGCAGCUAUGCCGCGUGUAUGAAGAAGGCCUUAGGGUUGUAAAGUACUUUCAUCGGGGAGGAAAAAACAAAACUAAUAAUUUUAUUUCUUGACGUUACCCGAAAAAGAAGCACCGGCUAACUCCGUGCCAGCAGCCGCGGUAAUACGGAGGGUGCUAGCGUUAAUCAGAAUUACUGGGCGUAAAGAGCACGUAGGUGGUUUUUUUAAAGUUCAGAUGUGAAAUCCCUGGGCUUAACCUAGGAACUGCAUUUUGAAACUGAAAUACUAGAGUAUCGUAGAGGGAGGUAGAAUUCUAGGUGUAGCGGUGAAAUGCGUAGAUAUCUGGAGGAAUACCUGUGGCGAAAGCGGCCUCCUAAACGAAUACUGACACUGAGGGUGCGAAAGCGUGGGGAGCGAAACAGGGAUUAGAUACCCGU
rnacentral:rRNA from 1 species